GAUGAACGCUAGCGAUAGGCUUAACACAUGCAAGUCGAGGGGCAGCAUGGUCUUAGCUUGCUAAGACUGAUGGCGACCGGCGCACGGGUGCGUAACGCGUAUGCAACUUGCCUCACAGAGGGGGAUAACCCGUCGAAAGACGGACUAAUACCGCGUACACUUAGGAUAGGGCAUCCUAUUCCAAGGAAAUGAAAUUCGCUGUGAGAUAGGCAUGCGUCCCAUUAGCUAGUUGGUGAGGUUACGGCUCCCCAAGGCAACGAGGGGUAGGGGAACUGAGAUGU
rnacentral:rRNA from 1 species